AUAAAAAUACGUCUGUGCCUAUUACUAUUUAUAGUGUUGUCAAUCAAAUUAAAAUACAAUUAACAUUAAGGAGGCUCCCUACAGUUGCGUGCGGGAUCUUCGCGGGACCAGUACGUGAACUAUCCCACGCAACCGCAUGAUCAAAACAAAACAAAAUUUUCUUUUUAAAAAAAAGCUAUUUCUGAAAGGUUUCUAAUGGGAAAAAGCGUUGAAUAAUACUUCGUUUUGAGUGCCAAAUUACUUGCGAGUCUAUACAGCAAUUCUACAUAUGAUACGAAUACCACUAGACCAAAAAAUAGCUACGAAACAAUGUGUUUUAAUGUUUUUAAAAUAUACAUUGUCAACUGUAAAACAUUUGCAAAAUUGCAUACAAACGUUUAAUAAGUUGUUUAUUUCUCAAGAAAACGUUCACGUUUUUAGUCGUGUUUCUACAAGAUUAAAGUGAUUAUAUGUAAACAGAAAAAUAUUUCAGUUUCAUAGCCUAAUUGUUCAUUUUUAGCAAAAAGUACAAAACCAAACAUGAAACAAAAAAAAACACGUCCACCUGUUAGUAGGCUGUUACAGCUCAUAGAUUGAGUAAACGGCAGGAUUCAAUUAGUAUCAACCUUGUUUUCAUCGAUUUAAUCCUUCACAAUAAUCCUUGGCUGUCCAUAGCACUCAAAUAAAUCGAAAAGUUGACAAAAACAAAACAGUAAAAACAACAUUGCGGUUCGAUUUUGCUGAAUGAAAACUCGUUCUGCGCCCGCGUACAAUCUUUUACUAGUCAGCGACGCUUUUCAAUAGGGGAAUUUCUCGAGUUACACGAGGCUAUUUUCUAAC